GAUGAACGCUGGCGGCGUGCCUAAUACAUGCAAGUCGAGCGAACAGACGAGGAGCUUUCUCCUCUGACGUUAGCGGGGGGCGGGGGAGUAUCACGUGUAUAACCCACCUAUAAGACUGGGGGAACUUCGUGGAACCGGAACUAAUACCCGAUAAAAUAUUGAAACUCAUGGUUGAGUAAUUUAAGACUUUUUUGCUGUCGCAUUUAGAUGUAUCCGCGCGGCAUUAGCUAGUUGGUGGGGUAACGGCUUACCAAGGCAACGAGCCGUAGCCGACCUGAGAGGGUGAUCGGCCACACUGGAACUGAGACACGGUCCAGACUCCUACGGGAGGCAGCAGUAGGGAAUCUUCCGCAAUGGGCGAAAGCCUGACGGAGCAACGCCGCGUGAGUGAUGAAGGUCUUCGGUUCGUAAAGCUCUGUUAUUAGGGAAGAACAAAUGUGUAAGUAACUAUGCACGUAUUGACGGUACCUAAUCAGAAAGCCACGGCUAACUACGUG
rnacentral:rRNA from 1 species